CGUACUACAUGUACAUGUACUAGUACCACCGGUACUACCGGUAAUACAGUAACAUAACGACGUCAGUGCCAGUAGUGAGUCGAGUAGCCUAGAGAGUAGAGGCAAAAGGACAACAGGCUGCUGCCGUGCUGGGAGAGCUGAACAGGCUAACGAGCGCAGUACGGAUGCGACCUGGACUACAGACUACAUACAGACUCACCAACCACCGAUGGCGACUACCUCACAUCGCCGUGAUUCUAUUCCCCAGUCCACUCCAUCACCAGGCAGCACAUUUACAUCUUCUGCAACACCACCGAUGACGUCAUCCAGCGCUUCCUCAGCUCAUACACCAGCUAGAGUGCCCAGACAAGGUUCAGCCUCAGAUCAGACUACUUUGCCCAGAAACACGUUGUCACCAUCAUCAUCAUCAUCAUCAGCAGCAGAAGCAGCAGCAGAAAUAGCUGAAUCUCGAACAAAGCAGCGCGAUUACACACAGAUCCACAAAGCAAGGUGCUCAUUUGGUAGUGAGGGCGGCGGGAGAGAUCAGUUUGACGGCCCUUGGGGACUAGCAACCAACAAAGCUGGUGACCUGAUCAUCUGUGACAGCUGCAACC